GUAUGAUCAAAUCCUACCAGUUUAUGAAGAGAAAGAGACAAGAGAUGUUCACCUGACCAUGCUGAAUAUCAUCGGCGAUGCUCUCGACCUCAAAGAGUUAACACACCCUCCUUCGUUCUACUGGAACGGCACAGAGCACACAUGUCACGCUGUGACUACAAGCCACAAGCCCUUCUUGGCAGUGGAGGACAUGCUUCCAAAUAAAGCAGUGUGUGCCAACCAUUACCAGAACAUCUUCAGAGAAUGGUUGCACAUGUAUUGGACCCUAACAGUCAACCGAAGGAACAUAUUGUUUCUGUUGUUAUGUUCUGAUUUUUUGUCUUUAGGAUUGUCAGAAGAAGUUGAAGCAAUGGUGAAAUAAAAUAAUGUAGUAUCACAGAAUAUAAACCUUAUAGAUUCUAGGCUCUGAUAUGUUUCUCAGCUCUCAGGGGUGGGGGGCUGAGUCAAACCUGUUGAAAAACCGGUUUAGCUCUUCUGCAUGUUCCAGGCUGCCCUCCAUGGCUGGUCUGGAAUUUUUAAGUCCAGUAAUCCUGUUCAUGCUGUCCCAUACCUCUUUGGCACAGUUUUUUUUCCAGCUUGCACAGUUUUUUUCCAGCUAGCCUCUCCCAGUAGCUGUUUUUUGCUUUCCUCAGCCACACCCCCCAGCUCAUUUUGGACUGACCUGACCUCCUCACUGUCUCCUGCCAUGAGUACCCUCUUUUUUCCUGCUUAGGAGGGCUUUAAUGUCAUUGUUGAUCCAUGGCUUGUUGUUUGAAAAACAGCGGACCUUCGUUGUGGGUAUGAGGCUGUACUAUUCCUACUCUUUCCAUUUCUUCCGUCAUGUCCUUUCUUUCUACUUUAUAUUUUCUGCAGCACAUGUUCUACAGAUUCUGCCGUCUGGCAAUGAUCACAAACCAGCUGGCUGCUUCCUUAUAAUGUGAAGUGAACUAUUCUGUGUAUUAUUCUCAAUCUAGUCAUGAUUGUCUCCUCUUUUCUGUUUCUUCCCUUACUUUCCACAAUACCGAUUCUACAAUGCCCUCCAUUAAUAUUGGCACCAUGAAUUCAUAGGGGUGCCAAUAAUUGUUGCACAUACACACCUAUAUUUAACAAGGUGGUUUUUUUUGUUUGUUUUUUUAAAUAUAUAUAAACCUGAGUUGUAUUUCAAUUGUUUGAUGUCCAUGAGAGCAGAGUAUUUCUGUGAAUUUUUUUAAUGCUCAUAUUUACCAAGGGUGCCAAUAUUAAUGGAGGGUGCUGUGUAUCAUUAUGGAGUAUAAAUGUCUUCCUUUUAUCUCCCGGUCCCACUGCUGCUUCCACUAACAAUUUCCUUCUGGCUUUGAGAGACUCAUGUCUGUUUUCUUCUCUCCUUUUUUCCCCAGUAUGUUUGGCUAGUUUGUCCACUCUUCCAUUACCCAUAAUGCCUAGUGUGAACCCAAAUGAAUAUGAAUUCAUCUAUAGAUAUUUCUAUUGAGUAAAUGAUUGAGAAAGUCAA